ensembl:lncRNA
ACACACACACUCACUCAACACACUCUCUCUCACACACACACACACACACACACACUCACAAAUUCACUCACUGAACACACUCUCACACACACACAUUCACUGAACACAGUCACACACUGAACACAGACACACACACACACACACUAUUUCACACACAGUGACACUCAUCAUUGUAAAUUGUAAACGUGCAACGGAGAGGGUAUUUCUCAGUUUGUUUUGAAAAUCAGGAUCUAAUGAACACAAAUGUGUUUUAUCAGUGUAAGUGCUAGUCCUGUCUCUCCUGUGUGUUUUGUUGUUAUACUCUGUGUGUGUGUGUGUGUGUGUGUGUGUGUGUGUGUGUUGUUUUGCUGUCUCUGUAUGACCAUGAGAUGAUGAGAUGAGAGUGGAUCAAGUGCUGCCAGAUGAGUCUCAAUCUGACAAACAGGGUUAAUGUGUGAUGAACAGCAGAACAGAACUCGCCAGAACUCUAACACCGCUCUUGUUCUGUGAAAUAAAAAUAAUUUUGAAUGUUUACAUUUAUCCUAUUUCAUAUAUAUAUAUACAAACAUGUAUAAAACAAAAAUAAUCAUCAUCAAUCAUACUAUUUAUAUUACAUAAAUUAUUGCAAUCACAAAUUUUAUCAGAAAAAAAUUGCAAAUACAUCCUCUCAGGCCAGUAAAAUUAAUGUGUGGCCAGUAAAUUUGUGCAUGUUGUCAGUCAUAAGCUGACAUUGUGUGUGUUUUAGCUGCUGCACAUCUGCAUGGAGGGCUGGGGGAACUGGCGCUGGGCCGAACCCUUCAGUGUCGACGACGAAGGGACUUUACUGAGAACCAUCCACCACAGAGGACAGACGGCCACUCUCAUCAUCAGAGUCAGACAGCUCACAGGAGUCCAGAAACAAUUCUUCACCAGAGGGGCACCAUCACGCUGACGCUCGCGCCAGAGAGCAGCGCUGGAGACAUCGUCACACACCGCAGGUCAAACACGCUUGUGCUCAGUCUCUCCACAAGAGGGCAGCGUUUGACUCGCUCACCUGAGGGUUUCCCGACAGUGUUAAGUUGGUUAACGGUGAUGAAAAAUAUUCAGCAUCAUUUUCAUCAACAACAUAAUUUGACAAGACAAAAAAAGACAAUAAUGAAAUAAAAACUGUUUUGAAUAACAAACACAGUGACGAUAAUCUGAUGACAUUUUCGUUAGUGACUAAAAACGAGAUGAAAAUGUUAGGGAGAGACGACUGGACAGAGACCCGUUCAGAACUGAUCUGUGUGGAAGGAAGUAACGUUAGAUGUGCACAUUUAAACUGUAAUGCUUUGAUCACAUUCACUUGCUAGCAUCGCGAAAGGUGGUGGGUUCGAUUCCCAGGAAACACAUGUAUUUUUAACAACAAAAAAUGUUAGCCUGAAUGCACUGUAAGUCGCUUUGGAUAAAUGCAUAGGCGUAAUUUGCGGGUGGGACAUGUCCCCCACUUUUUGCCAGGGUCGAUAUUGUCCCUACCACUUUUUGAAAGUAAUUGGAAAAUAUAUUGCGGAAGGUAUGUAUUUAAAGGAAAACAAGAUCAACAAAUCAUUCUUCAUAAUCUAAUUAAGGUGAUAAACAAAACAAAAAAUACAUUUGACUCCUUACAUGCUUAACAGCGCAAUAACGACGUGAUUUGCAGCUGUCGCACUUUUCGUAAUGUCAUUAUAGCAUUUUAUUUUAAAAAUGGAGUGCUUCCUUGUGCUAAGGCCUGUCCUCUACUAAGAUUUUUCUAGUCAACUGGUCACUCGUUAUAUUGCAAUAUAUUAACCACACUGUAGCCUAAUAUAUUCCGCGCUCAAGCUCGCGCAUAAAGCAAUGGCCUCAAAGCACCGGCAAAGUGAUUAUGAACGUUUCGGGGAAAAGAAGACAUUUAAAGUAUUUAUUAAUAAACUAGUGCUUUCUGAAUCA